UAAGGAAUAUUGGUCAAUGGACGCAAGUCUGAACCAGCCAUGCCGCGUGGAGGAUGAAGGCCCUCUGGGUUGUAAACUUCUUUUAUUUGGGAAGAAACCCAUCUUUUCUAAGGUGGUUGACGGUACCAGAUGAAUAAGCACCGGCUAACUCCGUGCCAGCAGCCGCGGUAAUACGGAGGGUGCAAGCGUUAUCCGGAUUCACUGGGUUUAAAGGGUGCGUAGGUGGGCAGGUAAGUCAGUGGUGAAAUCUCCGGGCUUAACCCGGAAACUGCCGUUGAUACUAUCUGUCUUGAAUGUCGUGGAGGUGAGCGGAAUAUGUCAUGUAGCGGUGAAAUGCUUAGAUAUGACAUAGAACAUCAAUUGCGAAGGCAGCUCGCUACACGGUUAUUUGACACUGAGGCACGAAAAGCGUGGGGAUCAAACA
rnacentral:rRNA from 1 species